rnacentral:rRNA from 1 species
GCUUGUCUCAAAGAUUAAGCCAUGCAUGUCUAAGUAUAAAUAGUAUACAGUGAAACUGCGAAUGGCUCAUUAAAACAGUUAUAGUUUAUUUGAUAAUUGAAAAUUACAUGGAUAACCGUGGUAAUUCUAGAGCUAAUACAUGCUAUCAAGCCCGACUUCGGGAGGGGUGUAUUUAUUAGAUAAAAAACCAAUGCCCUUCGGGGCUCUUUGGUGAUUCAUGAUAACUUAACGGAUCGCAUGGCCUUGCGCCGGCGACGGUUCAUUCAAAUUUCUGCCCUAUCAACUUUCGAUGGUAAGGUAUUGGCUUACCAUGGUUUCAACGGGUAACGGGGAAUUAGGGUUCGAUUCCGGAGAGGGAGCCUGAGAAACGGCUACCACAUCCAAGGAAGGCAGCAGG